ensembl:lncRNA
GGGGGAGGGGGGAUUAGAGCGGGUGAGCGUCUAGCUUCCUAUCAGGCAGGGAGACCCAGGGACGCAUGAUCGCACCUAUCCUGGCUACAGUGGAGAUGAGGAAACAAGGCUGAGAGAGGCUGACCCAUAGCCACAUAAUGAGUGUUAGAAAUGUGAUGAGAACCCACCAAGGUCUGAGUCUACUGCCCUGGCAAGAAUCUAGUCCACGGACCCAUUUCAUUAUACGCAGGUUGACUAAAUGAAUGCAGUAAUCAAGUGACCAUCUAUCUACCAGUGUCUGCCCUCUGGAGCCAUCAGUACUGCUUGGCCACAGAUAUUUUCAUGCAGCUGCCCGUUGUUGGGACUGAGAUGGAGACUCCCCAGCUGGGACCCUGCAUGGAUGUGUCUGGAUUUAAUGGACUGUUUUCUAAUUUGUGAUUCCUUCAUAAAGAACCCCCCUUUCAGGAUAAUUAUAGAGUCCUGUAUUAAUCUAUUAAUUGGGCCUGAUUUCUAUGCCUCAUGUUUCCUCAGCUUGCUGCCCCAGCAGCAAAAGCAGGAUGAGGCUGACCGGGACAUCUGAGCUGGGGAACCAGGAGGGUUCAGUGAAUUGAGUCAAAGGCCCAGGAGGUAGGAGA